rnacentral:misc_RNA from 1 species
UAUAGCAUUGUAGGUUAAUCAAAGAGACACUAUAUUCACUAUACAUUGAAAAACUUGAUUCAAUUUUUUAAACUAAGCUUAGUGCAACUCAAAAUAUUACACCACUAUACAAUGGAAAAUUUGGUUACAUAAAUUAAACAAAAAUUUCUAUAGAAGCUACUGCUAUCGAAGAUCGAUGCUCCAUAGAUCCUAUAAUAGUAAACAUUCUACUACAUCCAUCUUCCCAUCUUCAUUGCCAUCAUUUUCCUCUUCUUGUGUGCUUUAUGCUUUUCUGAGAUCCGCAGCUUUCUCUUGGCGUUUCUCAUUGGAUUGACGACAGCAAUGACCUUCUCUUCUUGUUUCCUCUUAUCCCUCUUCGAUUUGAUAUUCUUCCUUAUAUGACUGUAGAUUUGGACAAAAAUAUGUGUUCCUAUAACAUUGCUUAUGCUCCCCCGCACUCCUUCAGCCAGUUGUUUCACGUCGUCUGAUAUAACUUUUCCGGCAAAUCCUUCACAAACUUUGUACAGGGGCAACAGCAUAUGAUAUGCAAAGCUUUGGCAAUCAACCUCACCUUCAGGGGACAACAAUCUACUCUGAUCUAUAAGCUUUGGUGAAACUGAUUUGAAACAAUUGAAGAUAAUUCUCAUCUGCAUAUCCUCCACAUGAAGGGAAAUCUUUCCCAUUGUCUUAAGCAAAUAAGAAAUGACCAAGUAGCGCUGGCCUUCAUCUUCUUGAUCACUAAGGUCAGACACAAGAGACAAAUAGAUGUUUUUCCCUUUCCUUGAAUCAAGCUGUUGAAAAGCCUUAAGUAGAAGACCCUGCUCGUCAUGUUCAAUGGUGGACCAGA